GUUAGGAAUCUUGCGCAAUGGGCGAAAGCCUGACGCAGCGACGCCGCGUGAGGGAUGAAGGCCUUCGGGUUGUAAACCUCUUUUAACAGGGAAGAAAAAAAUGACGGUACCUGUAGAAUAAGCACCGGCAAACUCCGUGCCAGCAGCCGCGGUAAUACGGAGGGUGCAAGCGUUACUCGGAAUUACUGGGCGUAAAGCGUGUGUAGGUGGCUUCAUAAGUCUGGUGUGAAAUCCCGGGGCUCAACCCCGGAAGUGCAUUGGAUACUGUGAGGCUAGAGUAUGGGAGAGGAGAGUGGAAUUCCAGGUGUAGAGGUGAAAUUCGUAGAUAUCUGGAAGAACACCAGCGGCGAAGGCGGCUCUCUGGACCAUAACUGACACUGAGACACGAAAGCGUGGGGAGCAAACAGGAUUAGAUACCCCGGUAGUCC
rnacentral:rRNA from 1 species